AUUGAACGCUGGCGGCAGGCUUAACACAUGCAAGUCGAACGAGUGGCGGACGGGUGAGUAAUGUUUGGGAAUCUACCUUAUGGAGGGGGAUAACUACGGGAAACUGUAGCUAAUACCGCGUACCAUAGGAUGAGCCCAAGUGGGAUUAGGUAGUUGGUGGGGUAAAGGCUCACCAAGCCGACGAUCCCUAGCUGGUCUGAGAGGAUGACCAGCCACACUGGGACUGAGACACGGCCCAGACUCCUACGGGAGGCAGCAGUGGGGAAUAUUGGGCAAUGGGGGAAACCUGACGCAGCCAUGCCGCGUGAAUGAAGAAGGCCUUCGGGUUGUAAAGUUCUUUCGGUAGCGAGGCGGUAACUACAGAAUAAGCACCGGCUAACUCCGUGCCAGCAGCCGCGGUAAUAC
rnacentral:rRNA from 1 species